UAAAUCCUUGCUUCUCACCGU
rnacentral:miRNA from 1 species